AUGGAAAAGUUUUUAGGUGAUUGUACACUAAGAGUGUGGUAUUAUCUCACUGAAGAAUGGAAAGUCAACGUGUGUGGAGAAAACACUGCCAGUAUCAUAAAUGCUCCUCUGCUUGACAGAUGCCUGCAAAAUUCCAUCACACCUUUGCAUGGACCUGUGUGGGUCUUUAAGAGAGAAGGUUUCAGCCUCUCAGGAGCAAAGAUAAAUAUCCCAGGACUUCUAUUGGCCCUGCACCAGCGAUUAAAGUCUGCAAACUGUUGCAAACAGGAAGGCUGGAAUGAUUCUGAAUUGAGCUGUGGUACAGAGCUGCUGAGCUGCUGGUCAGUCAGUUACAGUUGGAAUCAGUGGUGGCACAUCUGUAGAUGA
rnacentral:lncRNA from 1 species